rnacentral:piRNA from 1 species
CUUGCUGUGAGAAUGUGAUCGGA